rnacentral:rRNA from 1 species
GACGAACGCUGGCGGCGUGCUUAACACAUGCAAGUCGAACGGUGAAGGGGUCUGCUUUUGUGGGCCCUGGAUGAGUGGCGAACGGGUGAGUAACACGUGAGUAACCUGCCCCCUUCUUCUGGAUAACCGCAUGAAAGUGUGGCUAAUACGGGAUAUUCUGGGUCUGUCGCAUGAUGGGUCUGGGAAAGAUUGCGCCUUUGGGUGUUUUUGGUGGGGGAUGGGCUCGCGGCCUAUCAGCUUGUUGGUGGGGUGAUGGCCUACCAAGGCGGUGACGGGUAGCCGGGCUGAGAGGGUGGAGGGUCACACGGGGACUGAGACACGGCCCAGACUCCUACGGGAGGCAGCAGUGGGGAAUAUUGCACAAUGGGCGCAAGCCUGAUGCAGCGACGCCGCGUGAGGGAUGGAGGCCUUCGGGUUGUAAACCUCUUUCGCCAGUGAAGCAGGCCUGCUCCUUGUGGGUGGGUUGACGGUAGCUGGAUAAGAAGCGCCGGCUAACUACGUG